CGUAGGGUGCGAGCGUUAAUCGGAAUUACUGGGCGUAAAGCGUGCGCAGGCGGUUAUAUAAGACAGAUGUGAAAUCCCCGGGCUCAACCUGGGAACUGCAUUUGUGACUGUAUAGCUAGAGUACGGCAGAGGGGGAUGGAAUUCCGCGUGUAGCAGUGAAAUGCGUAGAUAUGCGGAGGAACACCGAUGGCGAAGGCAAUCCCCUGGGCCUGUACUGACGCUCAUGCACGAAAGCGUGGGGAGCAAACAGGAUUAGAUACCCUGGUAGUCCACGCCCUAAACGAUGUCAACUGGUUGCUGGGUCUUCACUGACUCAGUAACGAAGCUAACGCGUGAAGUUGACCGCCUGGGGAGUACGGCCGCAAGGUUG
rnacentral:rRNA from 1 species